GCGGCAAGACGGAAAGACCCCGUGAACCUUUACUAUAGCUUGACACUGAACAUUGAGCCUUGAUGUGUAGGAUAGGUGGGAGGCUUUGAAGCGUGGACGCCAGUCUGCGUGGAGCCGACCUUGAAAUACCACCCUUUAAUGUUUGAUGUUCUAACGUGGACCCGUAAUCCGGGUUGCGGACAGUGUCUGGUGGGUAGUUUGACUGGGGCGGUCUCCUCCUAAAGAGUAACGGAGGAGCACGAAGGUUGGCUAAUCCUGGUCGGACAUCAGGAGGUUAGUGCAAUGGCAUAAGCCAGCUUGACUGCGAGCGUGACGGCGCGAGCAGGUGCGAAAGCAGGUCAUAGUGAUCCGGUGGUUCUGAAUGGAAGGGCCAUCGCUCAACGGAUAAAAGGUACUCCGGGGAUAACAGGCUGAUACCGCCCAAGAGUUCAUAUCGACGGCGGUGUUUGGCACCUCGAUGUCGGCUCAUCACAUCCUGGGGCUGAAGUAGGUCCCAAGGGUAUGGCUGUUCGCCAUUUAAAGUGGUACGCGAGCUGGGUUUAGAACGUCGUGAGACAGUUCGGUCCCUA
rnacentral:rRNA from 1 species